GUCUACAGACAGCAAGGGCACCUGAAUCCAUCAUGCCCUUCUCCACAUUUGCCUCUCUACCCACACUGCAUUCCAUGCCUCUGCUCUUACCUCUGAUUUUGGCUUUUAUUGUUGUUGUUGUGUGUUUUUUACCCAGACCAAAGAGACCCAUCCUUAACUCCUAGCCCAAAGCAACCCUUCUUUACUAGCCUUCAUCUCUCUCUCACCUCUUGUGAUUUUGCAUAAUAGAAGUGUCACUUUCUCAAAUAAUUAUGAUCAUCUUGUUCCCUCUUUUCAUUUAGGAUUCACCAUUCUCCUCUGGUAUCCUUUUAAGAAAAUGAAACAAAGUGUCCCUCAUGGCAGAAGGAGGCUGCCCAUCGUCUUAUGAUGGCAUGGAUGGAUUCUAUGUGAAGACAGUAGUGGAGACUAGAGAAGCAUGUAGCAAAUUUGCAGGGCUGACAUGGACAGCCAGAUCUCAUUCUGAAGAAGGGAGAAGAAUUAGUAGCAUCAGGCCCCUCCCAACAAUGAGCAAUGUUUUCACGACUUUAAAGGAAGCAAGCAACCAACAGGCACCACCAAGCCCAUGGCUAAUUCAUUCUAUCUCUGCCCAUGGAUGAAAGUGAUGCAGAUGUGUUGAGGACUCCUGCACCCAGCUCCUGACCCUCAUCUGGCAUAAACUGUGCUGCUUUAGACAGUGCACUUAGCCUUUCUGAGCUCCUGUUUUUCAUGGGAAAUAUUUGGGAAAUAAUGAUAGAAAUAAAUAACACCUAAAUCAAUAGAUUGAUAAGAGA
rnacentral:lncRNA from 1 species